AGAGUUUGAUCCUGGCUCAGGAUGAACGCUAGCGGCAGGCUUAACACAUGCAAGUCGAGGGGCAGCGGGGUGUAGCAAUACACUGCCGGCGACCGGCGCACGGGUGCGUAACGCGUAUGCAACCUACCCAUAACAGGGGCAUAACACUGAGAAAUUGGUACCUAAUUCCCCAUAACAUUCGAAGAGGCAUCUCUUUGGGUUGAAAACUCCGGUGGUUAUGGUAUGGGCAUGCGUUGUAUUAGCUAGUUGGG
rnacentral:rRNA from 1 species